ACUUCAGGACGGGGACAACAGUUGGAAACGACUGCUAAUACCCGAUGUGCCGCGAGGUGAAACCUAAUUGGCCUGAAGAAGAGCUUGCGUCUGAUUAGCUAGUUGGUGGGGUAAAGGCCUACCAAGGCGACGAUCAGUAGCUGGUCUGAGAGGAUGAGCAGCCACACUGGGACUGAGACACGGCCCAGACUCCUACGGGAGGCAGCAGUGGGGAAUUUUCCGCAAUGGGCGAAAGCCUGACGGAGCAACGCCGCGUGAGGGAGGAAGGUCUUUGGAUUGUAAACCUCUUUUCUCAAGGAAGAAGUUCUGACGGUACUUGAGGAAUCAGCCUCGGCUAACUCCGUGCCAGCAGCCGCGGUAAUACGGGGGAGGCAAGCGUUAUCCGGAAUUAUUGGGCGUAAAGCGUCCGCAGGUGGUCAGCCAAGUCUGCUGUCAAAUCAGGUUGCUUAACGACCUA
rnacentral:rRNA from 3 species